rnacentral:sRNA from 1 species
GCUGGACAUGGUGACACACACCUGUAGUUCCAGCCAUUUGGGAGGCAGAGGCAGGAGGACUACUUGAGUGCAGGACUUUGAGACCAGCCUAGGCAAUAUAGUAAGACCUUGUCUCGA